rnacentral:rRNA from 1 species
UACGUAGGGGGGCAAGCGUUGUCCGGAUUUAUUGGGCGUAAAGAGCGUGUAGGCGGCCCGGUAAGUCCGCUGUAAAAGUCAAAGGCUCAACCUUUGAAUGUCAGUGGAUACUGCCGGGCUAGAGUCCGGAAGAGGCGAGUGGAACUCCUGGUGUAGCGGUGGAAUGCGCAGAUAUCAGGAAGAACACCAACGGCGAAGGCAGCUCGCUGGGACGGUACUGACGCUGAGACGCGAAAGCGUGGGGAGCGAACAGG